rnacentral:rRNA from 1 species
AACGGCGGCCGUAACUAUAACGGUCCUAAGGUAGCGAAAUUCCUUGUCAGGUAAGUUCUGACCCGCACGAAAGGCGUAAUGAUUUGGGCACUGUCUCAACAGCCCGCCCGGCGAAAUUGUAGUACCGGUGAAGAUGCCGGUUACCCGCGACAAGACGGAAAGACCCCAUGGAGCUUUACUGUAGCCUAAUAUUGGGUUUCGAUGUUGCAUGCACAGGAUAGAUGGGACACUGGGAAGCAGGUGCUUUGGCGCUUGUGGAGUGGCCGUUGGGAUACCAUCCUUGCGAUAUUGGAAUUCUAACCUGCGCCUUUGAAUCAAGGCGGGGGACAUUGUUAGGUGGGCAGUUUGACUGGGGCGGUCGCCUCCUAAAGAGUAACGGAGGCGUUCAAAGGUUCGCUCAGCUUGAACGGAAAUCAAGCAAAAGAGUGCAAACGCAGAAGCGAGCCUAACUGCGAGACUGACGGGUCGAGCAGUAACGAAAGUUGGAGUUAGUGAUCCGGUGGUAUGUGAGUGGAAAUGCCAUCGCUCAACGGAUAAAAGUUACCCUGGGGAUAACAGGCUGAUCUCCCCCAAGAGUCCACAUCGACGGGGAGGUUUGGCACCUCGAUGUCGGCUCAUCGCAUCCUGGGGCUGAAUUCGGUCCCAAGGGUUUGGCUGUUCGCCAAUUAAAGCGGUACGCGAGCUGGGUUCAGAACGUCGUGAGACAGUUCGGUCCCUAUCUGUCGUGGGCGCAGGAUAUUUGAUGGGAGCUGUUCCUAGUACGAGAGGACCGGAGCGGACGUACCUCUGGCGCACCAGUUGUUCUGCCAAGAGCAUAGCUGGGCAACUAUGUACGGAUCGGAUAAACGCUGAAAGCAUCUAAGCGUGAAGCCGACCCAAAGAUAAGAUAUCCCAUUGUUUCAAACAAGUAAGACCCCUUGAAGACUACAAGGUUGAUAGGCACGAUGUGUAAGUGGAGCGAUCCAUUCAGCAAGCGUGUACUAAUAGGUCGAGGGCUUGACCAC